GCAUCUUCCCUCUACCUCUAUACUCCAAAUUCCUGGCUGGCACUGGAAUUACAUCCUUAGCAUGGACAUCAUAGCCUCCAGGUGAGAUUCAGGUUUGUUUCCGGGAAGAAACCCUAACAGAAAUUCAGAAGCACGGGAGCUGCAUUCAAUUAGGACGUGGAUACAUGAAAUGCUCAUCUCAGGACCUUCUAGAAGAAUGAGCUGGGACCCAUGUUCCAAGUCCUGCUGGAACCAGAGACCGAGUCUAUGCAAGUCAGAAUCAACCUCCAUCCACCUCCAUCCUUUAUGAGACCUAAGACGUGAUGCAGCUCCCUCCCAUGAGAAACAUCAUUUGUGUCUCUACCAAGGAUGCAGAGAAAGACAAGGUCCUGCUUUACAAAGAAGGAAAAUAUAAGUAUGAGAAUGUGUAUAUUCAGGCAUCUACACCUAAGAUCUGAGGUAGACACACAAAUGCAGCCACACAAAUAUGUGCUCAUCCAAGGCCACAGAUGUAUUGUAGAAGACAAAAUGCAUACAAGAGAACAGAAGAUCCCUUUGCAAUGACUCAAAAUCACUUUGACGUAGAGGACAAUCCGUUUGAAAUUUGAAGAGGACGAUGAACCAUUACAAACCAGCUGUGGUUAUUAUAUAUUUAGAGACGGUGUCUAAUCUGUCCCUUGGUCUGAAUGCUUUCCCUGACCACCCUGUCCACUCCACUUUGUCCUUCCUAAUGUCC